GCUAAAAACUUAGCCUUACCCCUACAAUUAUAUUUACCCUAUUUUACUUACACAAAAUAAAACAUUCUUUAAGCUUAGUAAAGGAGAUAAAAAAGUUUUUUAGAGCUAUAAAAUAAGUACCGCAAGGGAAAAAUGAAAUAAAAAUGAAACAAAAUUCAAGCAUAAUAUAGUAGAGUUUUCCCCUCGUACCUUUUGCAUCAUGAUUCAACUAGUUUAACCACGCAAAAAGAAUUUAAGUUUGACUUCCCGAAACUAAGUGAGCUACUUCAGGGCAGCUAAAUGAGCCAACCCGUCUCUGUUGCAAAAGAGUGGGAUGACCCUUAAGUAGAGGUGAUAAACCUAACGAACUUAGUGAUAGCUGGUUAUUCAGGAAAAGAAUUUUAGUUCAACUUAAAAUUACAUAAAUAAAAUAAAAUAAAAUUUUAAUUUUAAAGCAAUUCAAAUAAGGUACAGCCUAUUUGAAAUAGAAUACAAUCUAAACUAUAGGGUAAAUAUAAAAAAUUAAUGUAAUAAAGUAGGCCUAAAAGCAGCCAACUUUAAAAUAGCGUCAAAGCUUACUUCCAUAAUUUUUUAAUACUAUUAUUUACAAUGAACCCUUUAUUUUUACUGAAUAUUUCUAUAAAGUUAUAGAACCUUUUAUGUUGAAACUAGUAACAAGAAGUUAAACUUCUCCUCAAUAUAAGUAUAAGUCGACUAGGAUAAACCAUCGACAAUUAACGCUUAAAUUAAAUGUAUUAACUCCACAAGAAAAACUUACAUUACCCCACGUUAAUCUUACACCAGAACAUUUAAGGAAAGAUNNAAAAAA
rnacentral:rRNA from 1 species